rnacentral:tRNA from 1 species
GGAGUUUUGGCAGAUCAGGUAUAUGCGCAGGACUGAAAAUCCUGAGAACGUGGUUCGAUUCCACGAGACUCCA